rnacentral:lncRNA from 1 species
AGGAACCGUUCUCCGCUCCUACUAUGGGGAGGCUCCCCGAGCCUACGGCCUGCCCUACGGGCCCCGCUAUGUCCCUGAGGAGCACCUCAGGAAACUUACAAUCAUGGCAGAAGGAGAAGCACGCACGUCUUACAUGGCAGCAAGCGAGAGAGGGAGGAGCAAGCAGGGGAAAUGCCAGAUAGUUAUAAAACUAUGAGAUCCCAUGAGAACUCACUCAGUAUGAUGAAAACAGCAUGGGGAAACUGCCCCCGUGAUCCAAUCACCUCCCACCAGGUCCUUUCCUCAACAUAUGGGGAUUAAGGGGAUUGCAGUUCAGGAUGAGAUUUGGGUGGGGACACAGCCAAACCGUAUCAGCAUACCUAGGUUACUAGCUCAUAUCUGGAGCCAGCAAUGGGGUUUGUCCCACCAGAAUCACUCAAGUGUAGAGUGAUGUGGUUCCCCAAAGGAAAACUAAGGUGGUGUUUCUAGACAAAAAGGAUUCAAUGCUGGGAAGGCAAAAGCAGUGUAUCUAUUCCACAGUAGGAUGUGAGUCAUCAGUACACAUGAGAUAGUAAGAAGGCUAGGAGUAGUGAUUGACGCCUGUAAUCCCAGCAUUUGGGAGGCCAAGGCAGGUGGAUUGCUUGAGUCCAGGAGUUCAAGGCCAGCCUGGGCAACAUGGCAAGGCCUUGUCUCUACAAAAACAAUACACAAAUCAGCUGGGUAUGGUGGCAUACACCUGUAGUUCCAGCUACUCAGGAGGCUGAGGUGGGAGGAUCGCUUGAGCCUUGGGAGGUCAAGUCUGCAGUGAGUUGUGAUCAUGCCACUGCACUCUGGCCUGGGUGAUAAAGUAAGACCCUGUCUCAAAAAAACAAAAGAAAAAUGAUAACAACAAUGAAACCCAGAAAGAAGUAACAAAAGCACCACUGUUUCAUCUCUAUAUUUUUACUUUCUGGUAGUUGAAAGAGAAGAAAUUAUUGGCCAAAAUAAUAUAUGUACAUAUAUCCUUAGAUCUAUAUCUACGUUCAUCUAUAUCUAUAGUCAUAUAGUCAUUUGUAUUGGAAGACACAGCUCCUGAAUUCUAUUGCUCUUUAGAUACUGACCCAUAUGAGAUUCCGAAGAGAACAGGUAAUGCAUUUCAGAUUUAUUUGUGAUGAACAUAUAGCAUCAAGCUUCAGGAACUGAUUUGCUUCUCAUGUGCAUUGGUACUAGUUGGACUGUCAUCACGCUGUGACAUCGGUCCUCUCUGAAGGACCAAUAGCUCCCCUUCUCUCCUCAUUGCUUUAGGCCUGACCUUUACUGAGAUCCCCCUCCUAAUAGUCUGUAGUCUAUGACAGAUUGGCAAAGUAAACUUUGGCCAUUUCUAUGUUAGUUUUUUUCUGCAGUGGCAAGAAACAGUCACUGAACAUUGAUUUCUUGAGUAUAAUUUGUCUGUGUUUUAAAAGUUUAGAAAUGUGUUCUUUGGACUACAUACUUGGCCUAAAACACCCAGUGGGUUACCACACAUAUACCCCCAUCACUUGCACUACAUCACCAAUGGUAGGGUGGCCACAUUCACUGUUUACAAGGAUCUAUUCCUUAGGACUGAGUCAUUAGCACAAUCCUGUCUUCCUAGGCUUAUUAGAGAAAUCGAAGACAGGAUAUUUGAAUUGAAAGGUACCUACAAAUCCAUCUUCUUUGCCAUUGAUUGAUUGAAUCCCUUUCAUACUGUUUCUUGAGGAUGGUCAAUCAGUCUUGCUUAAGCACUUCCCCCAGGAGGAAAAUCACUAUUUACAGAUUCCCCAGCCCCUUGCAUUGCUAACAGUUUGUAUCAUGAGAAAGUUCUCGCCCAUAGAGUUGCUCUCUCGUUAAUAGUCACCUCUUCUUAAAGCAACAAGGCCAGUUUUGAGGAAUCUCUUUGUGCCCCUUUUGAGUAGUAGAUCAGGGUUUCCACUUCAAAGGAUAUCUUGGGUGUCUUUUUAUGAGUCAAAGGCUUAUCAUCUUUAUUGCAGAUUGGUAACAAGGCAGGUUUCUGGAAUGUGUAUAUGGUUUCCGUAUAAACAGUCCCCAAACUCAUGUAUCAACCUGACAAAGUCUAGACUCAAGAGUUUGUUUCAGGAAGAAAAAAAAGAGCCAGCCAUGAUAGAAAGAAUCGCAAGCCUAUAAAUUGUGCUGAAGUGUGUUUAUAUAACUAGAUUAGAGUUUAAAUAAAGCAACCCAACGGUAAACUAAAUUACAAGUCCUAGUGGUAAAAGCAACCUCUGAAGAGUCAGUGGAACAGACAGGUUACACUUGUUUUGAUUGUGCACACAAGGGAAUACUGAUUUCCAAACGGAUGGCUAGCACCUCAGGACAUUGCUUCCAGAGGGCAGUUUUCAUCAUUGUCAUUCUCAUUUUGAGAAACUGAAAUUCAAAGAGAUGGGUGACUGCCCUAAGUCAGACAGAGCCCUUAUUUCAAGGGCCAGGGAUACCUAUGACCCCUCUGACCUAAUCCAGGUGACAAUUUACAGCUGAUUCAUAUGACCCUGGUGACUCAAGCCAGUACCCCAAAGCUAUUUCCCAUUUAAUGAGACAAAAAUCUCACCUAAGAGUGCCAUACUAGCUGUGAAUUUUCAUCAGAUUCUUAGAGAUGCCUGCGACUUUCCGCCUUCUCCUCCUAUCAAUAUUUAGAACUCUUGAAUCAUAGUUCAACUAUCAAUCAAGUUUUCUAGAGAACCAGGGAUAUAACUUGUUCAGUGAUUUUGGCUUAUGCUAAGGGUUAAGCCAGUCAGAAAAGAAAAACAGAGGAACCAAAGUAAUAUUAUCAAGCAAUAUACUCAAAACCAGUCGAAGAAGAAGCUGAAGGAGGAAGUCUGUGGGGUUUAUUUCUAUUUAUUUAUUUAUUUAUUUAUUUAUUUAUUUAUUUAUUUGAGACUGAGUCUUGCCCUUCGCCCAGGCUGGAGUGCAGNNNNNNNNNNGCCCUACGGGCCCCGCUAUGUCCCCGAGGAGCCCCGGGCCCACUCCACCGCCCGCCCCUUUUACACGGAGGACUUCGGAAGGUACCGCGAGCGCGACGUCCUGGCUCGGACGUACCCGCACCCGCGAAGCAGCCCGGCCUGGGCGGACUGGGGCCCGCGACCGUACCGCACCCUGCAAGUGGUGCCGCCCUCUGACCCCGACCCGUUGCUCGCCUCCUGGCACGGCGGCACCGGCACCAGUCCGCCCCGGCUGGCCACCGACAGCCGCCACUACUCGCGCUCCUGGGACAACAUUCUGGCCCCGGGGCCGCGCCGAGAAGACCUGUUGGGCCGCGGCCGCAGCUACGAGAACCUGCUGGGGCGCGAGGUGCGGGAGCCGCGAGGCGUGUCCCCCGAAGGCCGGCGCCCGCCCGUCGUCGUGAACCUGUCCACCUCUCCCAGACGCUACGCCGCACUGUCCCUGUCCGAGACGUCGCUGACGGAGAAGGGCCGCGCUGGCGAGGGCCUGGGCCGCAAUUGGUACGUGACGCCCGAGAUCACAAUCACUGACAAUGACCUGCGCGCCACCGAGCGCCCGAGCGCCAGGGCCUGGGAGUUGCCCGGGGGCCGCACGCGGCCACCUCCCCACGCGGCCCCCGACGGCCCCACCUCUG